rnacentral:rRNA from 1 species
GACGAACGCUGGCGGCGUGCUUAACACAUGCAAGUCGAACGGAAAGGCCCUGCUUUUGUGGGGUGCUCGAGUGGCGAACGGGAGAGUAACACGUGAGUAACCUGCCCAUGACUGUGGGAUAACUUCAGGAAACUGGGGCUAAUACCGGAUAGGAGCUCCUGCUGCAUGGUGGGGGUUGGAAAGUUUGGGCGGAUGGGGAUGGACUCGCGGCUUAUCAGCUUGUUGGUGGGGUAGUGGCUUAGCCAGGCAUCGACGGGUAGCCGGCCUGAGAGGGUGACCGGCCACAUUGGGACUGCGAUACGGCCCAGACUCCUACGGGAGGCAGCAGUGGGGAAUAUUGCACAAUGGGCGGAAGCCUGAUGCAGCAACGCCGCGUGCGUGAUGACGGCCUUCGGGUUGUAAACCGCUUUCGCCUGUGACGAAGCGUGAGUGACGGUAAUGGGUAAAGAAGCACCGGCUAACUACGUG